rnacentral:rRNA from 1 species
GGUCAAGCGACUAAGUGCAUGUGGUGGAUGCCUUGGCGAUCACAGGCGACGAAGGACGUUGUAGCGUGCGAAAAGCCGCGGGGAGCUCGCAAACAAGCGUUGAUCCGCGGAUGUCCGAAUGGGGAAACCCACCUCUUUGAGGUAUCCCCGGCUGAAUACAUAGGCCGGCGGAGGCGAACCGAGCGAACUGAAACAUCUAAGUAGCUCGAGGAACAGAAAUCAACCGAGAUUCCCGAAGUAGUGGCGAGCGAAACGGGAACAGCCUUGCAACUUUUAGCAUGUCGAUUAGUGGAACGCUCUGGAAAGUGCGGCCAAAGUGGGUGAUAGCCCCGUACGCGAAAAUCGAUAUGUGGAACUGAGGUUGCGACAAGUAGGGCGGGACACGUGAAAUCCUGUCUGAAUAUGGGGGGACCAUCCUCCAAGGCUAAAUACUCGUGAUCGACCGAUAGUGAACCAGUACCGUGAGGGAAAGGCGAAAAGAACCCCGGGAGGGGAGUGAAAUAGAUCCUGAAACCGCAUGCAUACAAACAGUGGGAGCCCCUGCUUCAAGCGCGUUGCGCUUGAAGCGGUGACGCGUAACGAGUGACGAGUGACAAGUGACGAGGCAGUCACUCGUUACCUGUUGCCAGUUUUGAGAACAGCGUUCUUGAAGCAGGGGUGACUGCGUACCUUUUGUAUAAUGGGUCAGCGACUUACGUUCAGUAGCGAGCUUAACCGAAUAGGGGAGGCGUAGGGAAACCGAGUCUGAUAAGGGCGAAUUAGUUGCUGGGCGUAGACCCGAAACCAAGUGAUCUACCCAUGGCCAGGAUGAAGGUGCCGUAACAGGUACUGGAGGUCCGAACCCACUAGUGUUGAAAAACUAGGGGAUGAGCUGUGGGUAGGGGUGAAAGGCUAAACAAACUUGGAAAUAGCUGGUUCUCUCCGAAAGCUAUUUAGGUAGCGCCUCACGUAUCACUGCCGGGGGUAGAGCACUGUAAUGGUUGGGGGGGUCAUUGCGAUCUACCCCGCCAUAGCAAACUCCGAAUACCGGCAAGUGCGAGCGUGGGAGACAGACAUCGGGUGCUAACGUUCGGUGUCAAGAGGGAAACAACCCAGACCGCCAGCUAAGGUCCCCAAGCCAUGGUUAAGUGGAAAACGAGGUGGGAAGGCAUAGACAGUCAGGAGGUUGGCUUAGAAGCAGCCAUCCUUUAAAGAAAGCGUAAUAGCUCACUGAUCGAGUCGUCCUGCGCGGAAGAUGUACCGGGGCUCAAACCAUGCACCGAAGCUGCGGAUAUCCGUGAGGAUAUGGUAGGAGAGCGUUCCGUAGGCCUGCGAAGGUGUCUCGUAAGGGAUGCUGGAGGUAUCGGAAGUGCGAAUGCUGACAUGAGUAGCGAUAAAGCGGGUGAAAGGCCCGCUCGCCGAAAGCCCAAGGUUUCCUGCGCAACGUUCAUCGGCGCAGGGUGAGUCGGCUCCUAAGGCGAGGCCGAAAGGCGUAGUCGAUGGGAAACAGGUCAAUAUUCCUGUACCGAUCGUGAAUGCGAUGGGGGGACGAAGAAGGUUAGCUCGGCCGGGUGUUGGAUGUCCCGGUUUAAGCGUGUAGGCGUGCUGUCUAGGCAAAUCCGGACGGCUUAGCCGAGGCGUGAUGACGAGGACCCUUUGGGUCUGAAGUGAGUAAUACCAAGCUUCCAGGAAAAGCCUCUAAGCUUCAGUUCACGAUUGACCGUACCGCAAACCGACACAGGUGGGCAGGAUGAAAAUUCUAAGGCGCUUGAGAGAACUCAGGAGAAGGAACUCGGCAAAUUGACACCGUAACUUCGGGAGAAGGUGUGCCCCUAGUAGGUGAAGGCCCUCGCGGCUGGAGCCCAAUGGGGUCGCAGAGAAUCGGUGGCUGCGACUGUUUAAUAAAAACACAGCACUCUGCAAAGGCGAAAGCCGACGUAUAGGGUGUGACGCCUGCCCGGUGCCGGAAGGUUAAGUGAUGGGGUGCAAGCUCUUGAUCGAAGCCCCGGUAAACGGCGGCCGUAACUAUAACGGUCCUAAGGUAGCGAAAUUCCUUGUCGGGUAAGUUCCGACCUGCACGAAUGGCGUAACGAUGGCCACACUGUCUCCUCCUGAGACUCAGCGAAGUUGAAAUGUUUGUGAAGAUGCAAUCUACCCGCGGCUAGACGGAAAGACCCCAUGAACCUUUACUGUAGCUUUGCAUUGGACUUUGAUGAGACUUGUGUAGGAUAGGUGGGAGGCACUGAUGCGCGGAUGCUAGUUCGCGCGGAGCCAACCUUGAAAUACCACCCUGGUGUCAUUGAGGUUCUAACCUUGGACCGUGAAUCCGGUUCGGGGACCGUGCAUGGCAGGCAGUUUGACUGGGGCGGUCUCCUCCCAAAGCGUAACGGAGGAGUACGAAGGUACGCUAGGUACGGUCGGACAUCGUGCUGAUAGUGCAAUGGCAUAAGCGUGCUUGACUGCGAGACUGACACGUCGAGCAGGUGCGAAAGCAGGUCAUAGUGAUCCGGUGGUUCUGUAUGGAAGGGCCAUCGCUCAACGGAUAAAAGGUACUCUGGGGAUAACAGGCUGAUUCCUCCCAAGAGUUCAUAUCGACGGGGGAGUUUGGCACCUCGAUGUCGGCUCAUCACAUCCUGGGGCUGUAGCCGGUCCCAAGGGUAUGGCUGUUCGCCAUUUAAAGUGGUACGUGAGCUGGGUUUAAAACGUCGUGAGACAGUUUGGUCCCUAUCUGCCGUGGGCGCUGGAGAUUUGACGGGGGCUGCUCCUAGUACGAGAGGACCGGAGUGGACUUGCCUCUGGUGUACCGGUUAUGACGCCAGUCGUAUCGCCGGGUAGCUAAGCAGGGAAGAGAUAAACGCUGAAAGCAUCUAAGCGUGAAACUCGCCUGAAGAUGAGAUCUCCCGGGGACUUGAUCCCCCUGAAGGGUCGUGGAAGACCACCACGUUGAUAGGUCGGGUGUGGAAGCGCAGCGAUGCGUUAAGCUAACCGAUACUAAUUGCCCGUGCGGCUUGAUCCU